ACGGGAGGCAGCAGUGGGGAAUAUUGCACAAUGGGGGAAACCCUGAUGCAGCAACGCCGCGUGAAGGAAGAUGGUCUUCGGAUUGUAAACUUCUGUUCUUAGUGAAGAUAAUGACGGUAGCUAAGGAGCAAGCCACGGCUAACUACGUGCCAGCAGCCGCGGUAAUACGUAGGUGGCAAGCGUUGUCCGGAAUUACUGGGUGUAAAGGGAGCGCAGGCGGGAAAUCAAGUUGGAUGUGAAAUGUCGGGGCUUAACCCCGGAACUGCAUCCAAAACUGAUUUUCUUGAGUGAAGUAGAGGUAGGCGGAAUUCCGAGUGUAGCGGUGAAAUGCGUAGAUAUUCGGAGGAACACCAGUGGCGAAGGCGGCCUACUGGGCUUUAACUGUCGCUGAUGCUCGAAAGCGUGGGUCUCGAACAGGAUUAGAUACCCUGGUA
rnacentral:rRNA from 1 species